GUGGGGAAUUUUGGACAAUGGGGGCAACCCUGAUCCAGCCAUGCCGCGUGAGUGAAGAAGGCCUUCGGGUUGUAAAGCUCUUUCGGAGGGGAAGAAACGGUUACGGCCAAUACCCGUGACUAAUGACGGUACCCUAAGAAGAAGCACCGGCUAACUACGUGCCAGCAGCCGCGGUAAUACGUAGGGUGCGAGCGUUAAUCGGAAUUACUGGGCGUAAAGCGUGCGCAGGCGGUUUGACAAGUCAGAUGUGAAAGCCCCGGGCUUAACCUGGGAACUGCGUUUGAAACUGUCGGACUAGAGUGUGGCAGAGGGGGGUAGAAUUCCACGUGUAGCAGUGAAAUGCGUAGAUAUGUGGAGGAAUACCGAUGGCGAAGGCAGCCCCCUGGGUCAACACUGACGCUCAUGCACGAAAGCGUGGGGAGCAAACAGGAUUAGAUACCCCAGUAGUCC
rnacentral:rRNA from 1 species